UGAGUACGAGAGGCUACGGCCUCGAAGCAGUCUAUGUCAUACUUCCAAGAAAAGCUUGCAAUGUCAUAAACAAAUAAUGCCUGUACCGUAACCGACACAGGUGGGUAGGUAGAGUAUACUAAGGGGCGCGAGAUAACUCUCUCUAAGGAACUCGGCAAAAUGACUCCGUAACUUCGGGAGAAGGAGUGCCUUAUUUAUAAGGUUGCAAUAACAAGAUCCAAGCAACUGUUUACCAAAAACACAGGUCUCCGCUAAGUCGUAAGACGAUGUAUGGGGGCUGACGCCUGCCCAGUGCCAGAAGGUUAAAGAAGUUGGUUAGCAUUAGCGAAGCUGAUAACUGAAGCCCUGGUGAACGGCGGCCGUAACAAUAACGGUCCUAAGGUAGCGAAAUUCCUUGUCGGGUAAGUUCCGACCCGCACGAAAGGCGUAAUGAUUUGGAUACUGUCUCGGAGAGAGGCUCGGUGAAAUAGACUUGUCUGUGAAGAUGCGGACUACCUGCACCUGGACAGAAAGACCCUAUGAAGCUUUACUGUAACUUGAAAUUGAAAUUGACUUUAUUUGCGCAGUAUAGGUGGGAGGCGUUGAGAGUAUUCUUGCGGGAAUAUUGGAGCCAUCAGUGAGAUACCACUCUUGUAAUGUUAGAUUUCUAACUUUGGAUCAUUAUCUGGUCAAAGGACAGUUUCAGGCGGGCAGUUUGACUGGGGCGGUCGCCUCCCAAACGGUAACGGAGGCGUACAAAGGUUUCCUCUGAACGGGUAGAAAUCGUAUCUAGAGUGUAAAGGCAUAAGGAAGCUUGACUGUGAGACCUACAAGUCGAGCAGGGACGAAAGUCGGUCUUAGUGAUCUGACGGUGCUGAGUGGAAAGGCCGUCACUCAACGGAUAAAAGUUACUCUAAGGAUAACAGGCUGAUCUCCCCCAAGAGUUCACAUCGACGGGGAGGUUUGGCACCUCGAUGUCGGCUCAUCGCAUCCUGGGGCGGUAGUACGUCCCAAGGGUUGGGCUGUUCGCCCAUGAAAGCGGUACGCGAGCUGGGUUCAGAACGUCGUGAGACAGUUCGGUCCAUAUCCGGUGUAGGCGUUAGAAUAUUGAGAGGAGCCUUCUUUAGUACGAGAGGACCGAGAAGGACAUACCUCUGGUGUACCAGUUAUCGUGCCAACGGUAAACGCUGGGUAGCUAUGUAUGGAGAGGAUAACCGCUGAAAGCAUCUAAGUGGGAAGCCCACCUCAAGAUAAG
rnacentral:rRNA from 1 species